rnacentral:rRNA from 1 species
AACCGAUGCAAACUCCGAAUACCUACAAGUGCCGAGCCUGGGAGACACACGGCGGGUGCUAACGUCCGUCGUGAAAAGGGAAACAACCCAGACCGUCAGCUAAGGUCCCAAAGUUAUGGUUAAGUGGGAAACGAUGUGGGAAGGCUUAGACAGCUAGGAGGUUGGCUUAGAAGCAGCCACCCUUUAAAGAAAGCGUAAUAGCUAACUAGUCGAGUCGGCCUGCGCGGAAGAUGUAACGGGGCUCAAACCAUAAACCGAAGCUACGGGUAUCACGUAAGUGAUGCGGUAGAGGAGCG